AGUGAACGCUGGCGGCGUGCUUAACACAUGCAAGUCGAACGAGAAACGGAUUUAGCUUGCUAAAUUGCAGUCUAAGUGGCGCACGGGUGAGUAAUGUAUAGGUAAUAUGCCUCUUACUAAGGGAUAACAAUUGGAAACGAUUGCUAAUACCUUAUAUGCCUUUAAUACGAAAGUAUGCAAGGGAAAGAUUUAUUGGUAAGAGAUUAGCCUGUAUGGUAUCAGUUAGUUGGUGAGGUAAUGGCUCACCAAGACAAUGACGCCUAACUGGUUUGAGAGGAUGACCAGUCACACUGGAACUGAGACACGGUCCAGACUCCUACGGGAGGCAGCAGUGGGGAAUAUUGCACAAUGAACGAAAGUCUGAUGCAGCAACGCCGCGUGGAGGAUGACACAUUUCGGUGCGUAAACUCCUUUUAUAUAGGAAGAUAAUGACGGUACUAUAUGAAUAAGCACCGGCUAACUCCGUGCCAGCAGCCGCGGU
rnacentral:rRNA from 1 species